AAUUUUCGGCAAUGGGGGAAACCCUGACCGAGCAACGCCGCGUGAUCGACGAAGUACUUCGGUAUGUAAAGUUCUUUUAUAUGGGAAGAAAAAUUAAAAUUUGACGGUACUAUAUGCAUAAGCCCCGGCUAAAUACGUGCCUGCAACCGCGGUAAGAAAUAGGUGGCGAGCGUUAUCCGGAUUUACUGGGCGUAAAGGGUUCGUAGGUGGUUAUUAAAGUGUGUGGUGUAAGUGCAGUGCUUAACGCUGUGAGGCUAUGAAAACUAUAUAACUAGAGUGAGACAGAGGCAAGUGGAAUUCCAUGUGUAGCGGUAAAAUGCGUAAAUAUAUGGAGGAACACCAGUGGCGAAGGCGGCUUGCUGGGUCUAUACUGACACUGAUGCACGAAAGCGUGGGGAGCAAACAGG
rnacentral:rRNA from 1 species